rnacentral:rRNA from 1 species
UACGUAGGGUGCAAGCGUUAAUCGGAAUUACUGGGCGUAAAGCGUGCGCAGGCGGUUCGCUAAGUCCGAUGUGAAAUCCCCGGGCUUAACCUGGGAACUGCAUUGGUGACUGGCGAGCUAGAGUGUGGCAGAGGGGGGUAGAAUUCCACGUGUAGCAGUGAAAUGCGUAGAGAUGUGGAGGAAUACCGAUGGCGAAGGCAGCCCCCUGGGCUAACACUGACGCUCAUGCACGAAAGCGUGGGGAGCAAACAGG